CUGCUGCCCGAGGGCCAGGUUGAGCUUCCCGACUUGGAGGAUGCCCGGGACCCUACUGUCCAGCUAGUCCCAGAGGCCGUCUUGUCCUUUGUGGCUCCUGAGGGUGUGGUUAUGCUCAGAGAGAUCUGGAAAAAGAAAACAAGUUAAAACUUUAAGCAAGGAGAAAAAGAACUCCAGUUUUAAAAUCCAAGUUUUGUCACAUCCAAUCCAACAGAGGAUGAUGUAUGCUCCACUACAAAUUAGGGGGAGGCAGCAGUCCGUGUCGACUGCAUCUGAAAAUAAAUGUGUUAUGUCUCCUUU